rnacentral:lncRNA from 1 species
AGCGAAUGGAAAUCUUAGUGAAAGACAAAAACAUAAGCGAGGUAUAUAAUGACAGUUCAAUGGUGAUGAAGCAUCCAUGGAGUUGAGAGAUAUCCACUGUCGGGUGUUUAGUUACAGCGUUUUGCACGCUUCUUCUCUCCACUCCCACUAUUAGGGGCACUUGCCGCACAAGAAGGACCACUGGAGCAGUUUGUACCUAAGGCAGACUCACAUGCUACACUUGCCCCAGGAAACUGGUCACCAUCAUCACCUGCAUUAUUGGUAUCUCAACGGCUUGUGGUAGAGGGCGCAGGAGAGCAAUUGAGAUAAUCUUUGUGACAGUAAUGGUCUGCCUCAUUGCUGUGA